AUUGAACGCUGGCGGCAUGCCUAACACAUGCAAGUCGAACGCGAAAGGGGGCAACCCUGAGUAGAGUGGCGGACGGGUGAGUAACGCAUCGGAAUUUACCCUGUCGUGGGGGAUAACCAAGGGAAACUUUGGCUAAUACCGCAUGAUCUGGUGACAGCAAAGCGGGGGACCUGCAAGGGCCUCGCGCGAUGGGAUGAGCCGAUGUCUGAUUAGCUAGUUGGUAGGGAAAGCCUACCAAGGCGACGAUCAGUAGCUGUCUGAGAGGAUGAUCAGCCACAC
rnacentral:rRNA from 1 species